CCUACGGGAGGCAGCAGUGGGGGAUAUUGCACAAUGGGGGAAACCCUGAUGCAGCGACGCCGCGUGUGGGAAGACGGUCCUCUGGAUUGUAAACCACUGUCCCCAGGGACGAAGAUGACGGUACCUGGGGAGGAAGCUCCGGCUAACGACGGGCCAGCAGCUGCGGGAAUACGUAGGGAGCGAGCGUUGUCCGGAAUUCCUGGGUGUAAAGGGAGCGUAGGCGGGACUGCAAGUUGGGUGGCAAAUCUACCGGCUCAACCGGUAGGCGCACUCGAAACUGCAGUUCUUGAGUGAAGUAGAGGCAGGCGGAAUGCCUGGUGUAGCGGUGAAAUGCGUAGAUAUUAGGAGGAACACCAGUGGCGAAGGCGGCCUGCUGGGCUUUUACUGACGCUGAGGCUCGAAAGUGUGGGGAGCAAACAGGAUUAGAUACCCGGGUAGUC
rnacentral:rRNA from 1 species